GGGAUCCUUAACUUCUCAACGGUGAAGGAGCAGCUGAUCCGAGUCAGUUGAACAACGACGAGGAGAAAGUUUAGUGAUACUUAAGUUUGGUCAGCUCACUCAAGGUUAGGAUGAUCGAGGACUUUUGUUGACACUUCUUUUGUUUCCUCAUCAACACUGCAUUCUGUCGAGUAGCUGUUUUUGCUUUUGGGAUACUCAUGAAUGUGCUUUUGUGCUACUUAUACUUUUAUAUAUAUGGACUGCAGAAUAUUUGGUGGAAGCCUGUUAUAUGUGAAUUCUACUAUGGUUGUAAAUGAUGUAGAAACUUCUUGCACGUGUUAAUCUAUAUAUACAUAUAUCUCAAUAUAAAUAUGAUACUUA